AGCCCUGUAGUGAGUGACACGUCAAAUUGCAAAUUUGAAACCGCCCCAUAUUUUGGUGCCUGGGCUU
rnacentral:tRNA from 1 species